UCGACCAAGAAAACCCCAAAGCCAUUGAGAUGUGUGUCGCUGCUGCAGGUUUCAGUGUCGGAGAAUUUGCUGCUCUUGUCUUUUCUGGGGCGAUGAACUUUGCAGAAGGAGUAAAGGCAGCUCAACUCCCAGUCCUACUGCCAGUUUCUG